AGUGAACGCUGGCGGUAGGCCUAACACAUGCAAGUCGAACGGCAGCACAGAGGAGCUUGCUCCUUGGAUGGCGAGUGGCGGACGGGUGAGGAAUACAUCGGAAUCUACUCUGUCGUGGGGGAUAACGUAGGGAAACUUACGCUAAUACCGCAUACGACCUACGGGUGAAAGCAGGGGAUCUUCGGACCUUGCGCGAUUGAAUGAGCCGAUGUCGGAUUAGCUAGUUGGCGGGGUAAAGGCCCACCAAGGCGACGAUCCGUAGCUGGUCGGAGAGGAUGAUCAGCCACACUGGAACUGAGACACGGUCCAGACUCCUACGGGAGGCAGCAGUGGGGAAUAUUGGACAAUGGGCGCAAGCCUGAUUCAGCCAUACCGCGUGGGUGAAGAAGGCCUUCGGGUUGUAAAGCCCUUUUGUUGGGAAAGAAAUCCAUCUGGUUAAUACCCGGAUGGGAUGACGGUACCCAAAGAAUAAGCACCGGCUAACUUCGUGCCAGCCGCCGCCGUAA
rnacentral:rRNA from 1 species